AGACCAGAAAGACUUAACAAAACAAUAUAAGAACCUUGAUUGGGUCACAAAUCUAUGAAAUAUAUUUUCGGGAUGGAUAGGGAAUGCUGAAUAUGGGAAGGAUAUUGGAUGAUAUUAAGAAAUUAAAUUUGCUUAAGGAUCUAGGGGUAGAGUUUUAUGUCUACAAUUUAGAAAUGGUUCUGCAAAAGUAAGUAAAGCUCACUCAUACAGGGAUGGGUUAAACCCACUGAAGGCAAGAACCACAUGUGCCCUAGUGCCUGGCACACAGUAGCAGUAAGGGUUUGCUGAGUGGAAGGCUAUUAGAAACCAGCCAGCCUGUUACCCCUGCCCUUUCCUCGGUGCUUGUUACCCAUCCAAAGUCCCUGUGCCGAUACUUUGAAAGGCCAGAACUCAAAAGGUCAGUUUGAGGUAAGUAAAGGUUUACUGAUUAAGAAGCCAAGAAUAAAGAGCCCUAGUUCUCAAAUCCAUCUUUAGACAGUACAGGGUUUAGGCUUUUAUAUCAAGAGAAGGGCAAAUGGGAGGAGCUGUUUUUAUGAAACCUCAAGCCCCUAGCCGAAUUCCUUUAAUGAUCUGCAUGCCUAAAGCAGGAGCUUAUAGCCUGAAGGCUGAGGGAACUUGUUCCAUCCUUGAACCAGAUGGAAUCCGAGAGUCUGAGAGACCCAGCACUUCAGUCUGUUACACAUUGAGCUCUCUAAGGGCAGGGUCUGUCCCAAAGCACCUUGCACAGCGCCAGGCACUCAUUAAUCUCUGUUGAGUGAACAGGGAAAAUGUGAACAGCGCAACUAGUGUAACAGCAUGACCAUUUGAGAGUGGGAUGUUUGCUUUCCUUGCAGACGAGCUGACUGGCAGGAAUCCAAGGAUGAGGAGGAAUCUGGCUUCUUGGGGGAUGUUUUCAGGAAAAUGAGGCUGAGUUAGUAACAGAUCUGAAAAAGGAGUGUCAGGGUACUGGAUGGCGUAGCCAAGAUUUCCAAGACUGAUGGCUUUUUGCAGAAAAUAAGAUGAAAUAAACGAGGCAAAGAAGGAAAAACCAUUUUUCCUUGUAAUAAACUUGAAAUAGUU